UACGAAGGGGGCAAGCGUUGUUCGGAAUUACUGGGCGUAAAGGGCGCGUAGGCGGCUUAUCAAGUCAGGCGUGAAAUUCCCGGGCUCAACCUGGGGGCUGCGCUUGAUACUGAUUGGCUUGAAUGCGGGAGAGGAUAGUGGAAUUCCCAGUGUAGAGGUGAAAUUCGUAGAUAUUAGGAAGAACACCGGUGGCGAAGGCGGCCAUCUGGCUCGGUACUGACGCUCAGGCGCGAAAGCGUGGGGAGCAAACAGG
rnacentral:rRNA from 1 species